GUUUACAAGAGUGCAAACAUGGCGUCGACCUGGUGCCGUACAGAUCGGUCAGCAUGUUAGAUAAAAUGAGAGAGUCAAAAUAUCCAUAAAUAUGUGUUGUUUGAAAAUUCGGAGAAUUUAAGAGGUUUAUUAAAUCAUGGGUAUUCAAUGCUUGUUGUUGGGUCUAAGGACCUCUCGGCCAUUUAUUUCAGCUUAUCGAUUCACAGGUAUUCAGUCUUCAAGAGCGUUCGUGUUUACAGCUUCCCAAACCUUUAAAGUCAAAGACAUCAGAAGCAUCUCAUGUUGCCACGUGCGCGCGGUUUCAGUCAGGAAUGCCUAUUCCUUCACCUCCGCUGCCGUCGCAAAGGACGUGGUUCUCUUCGAACACGACCGGACGCGUUUUUUCAGACUUUUGGCCAUAUUUUGCGCUGGCCAGUUUCUAUUUUGGGUAUAUCUUGCUCAAUUUGCUUUCACAAGUCUUCGAGACACUAGGAAAAAUAGUAGUGAACCACAAAAGGUCAGAACAGAGCUAGGGGGGCUUUUCAGUUUUGAUAUGAAUCUCGGUUCAAAUGCCUGGAGGUAUGGAUUCACUCUUGGGUGCCUAAUUAUUGGAGGAGGAAUCGUUGGCGUGGCAGUAUUGUUCAGCCGCCGUUCUGUGAGUCGUGUAAUUCUGCAUAAAGGAGGUGGAAAAGUCACAGUAUCUACACAAUCACCGCUGGGACCUCUGAGAGCUCACAGUCUAACUGUGCCUUUGUCUCAAGUGGCCUGUCAUGCACACAGACAGGAAUCCUCUUCAUUUAUCCCACUUAAAAUCAAGGGGUACAAGUUCUACUUCCUUUUGGACAAAGAAGGGACUCUGAACAACCCAAAAUUAUUUGACAUUACUGUUGGGGCCUACAGGCCCUUAUGAUGUAAUUUAUACCCCUGUGUCUCUGCAGUCCAAUGUGUAUGUGUCAUACAUCUGCUAUUCAUUUUCUUUUAUGUUGCCUUGAGAAAAAAAAAAAAAAAAAGCAAGCACUGAUUUUACAAUAGAAAUAAAAUGUGACUUUUCUGUCCAUAACAAAACUUUUUACUUGGGAUUUGUGCUGACAAGCUUAUUCUGAAUUAUGACACAGGCUUACUCAUACAAGUCUGACUAAAAAUUAAAUUAUAGUUCUGUCUUUGCAUUUUUUUUUCAGCAGCAUUGAUGUCUGACUCAGAAAAUAAUCCACACGAGGUGGCUGUUACACCUUAAAUGUGCAUUAUUGUAUAAUAAUUCAACUGGGUAGAGAACAGAUAUAAUCAAUCAAUAAUUCUGCUUAUACUAAAGUUACCACACCUCAAGAUUUAGUUUUCAGAUGUUGUAUUUCAAGACAUUUGUCUGGUUUUUUUCUCGUUUGUAGGACUAAUUACCUAAGUUAUGAACCUCAUAACAUGCCUCCAUUGCUAAUUCUAAAAUGUCAUUUUUGAGGUAGUAGUAAUUAGAGAAAGAUUAGAUUCUGUGUCUCUCAACAGUGUGUGUGUGUGUGUCAAGGUUAUCUAAAAAUAAUUUAUUUGUUUGAUAAAAGUUAUAUAUAAUAUACUUUUUUAAAAAUAAAGUGUAUGCCCUUUUUUAUUUUUUCCUUUUCACGUGUUAAUGUGUUCUUGAAGACAGUCCAGACCAGCCUUAAAAUGAGCCAUGUAUCAGUUCAGUGAUUCACGGGUGUACCAGUUCUGCAACGGUUGGAUUAUUCAUACAUUUCAAACCUACACGUCACUUGGCAAAAGAGGUCUGUAAGUGAAGUUCAACAUGUGAAGCUUCUCCAGCUCUCAAACCACGUGUUAAACUUACUGGUUUUCCAAGUGAAUAUAAUUUCAGCGACAGUUAGUUGGCGCUAUUGUCUUCAAAAGUAGUGGCCAUUAGAGGCACACUAGUGACCAAGGAGGAGAAAAGGCGGUAGAUUGGAAACGAUAGAUGCUCCACUCUUUUAGAUGCUCCAGUGAUGGGGAGGAGAGAGAGAGAGAGUGUGUGGGUGUGGGUGUGAGGAGGCGCUGAAAAACUUGAAGAAAAGUUGUAGCACGUGCUUUGGUUUAUUUUUCCAUCAUUCGUUCUGAUGGAUUUAUAAUAUUUCUGUCAUUUUAUUUUACUGACUUUUUCCCCUCGGGGACUAUUGCAAUGGACAGCACGGGAGAUGGGUUUAAGCGAACUUAAGAAACAGGAAUAAAAUGAACUCGAAAAAAUACGGAUCGGGUUUGAUCACAAUGAAUCGUAAUGAAGGAAGAGAAUCAUAUUAUCGUUUGCAUGACUCCCAGUUUUCUCCAGCAUGGAUGGACCCGGAGAAUUCAACCGCACUUCCGAAUCUUACCGAGGACACCACAUCCAGCCCAUAUCUUGAUGUAAUUACAUCUAGUCCAGAUCUUCAGUGGCUUCUGCAGUCCUCUUUAUUUUCCAAUUCAGAGGCCACCUUGGGAGCAUUUUCCUCAUUCGAACCCACCACCAUACCCAACUGCCCCUGUUUGUCACAGUGCAGUCCUGACCCGUCCUGGAAUGGAGCAGUGGGGGACAGUUCAGUGGGACAUGAUAACAAAAAUAUGUCCUCUGAGGAACUUGACAGGAUAAGGAUCCGCAGGGAAAGGAACAGAGUAGCAGCUGCCAGGUGUCGGGACCGUCGUCGGAUGCUUAUAGACACAUUACAGAAUACGGAGCAUUUGGAACAUGUGAAGACACAACUAGAGGAAGAGAUCGCUACUCUUGAAAGAGAGAGAGAGAGGCUGGAGUUGGUUUUUGAGGCACACAUGCCCAUCUGCAAGUUAAAUAAUGACCCAAACCCAGAAUAAUUACUGAUGCUGGUCAUGUUUAGUGCUGAGUCUGCUGGUUCAGAUCAGCUGUGAAUUAUAUAACAUAAUAAGCCUAUAUUUGCUAUAGUAAGUAAAAUGUUUCAUUGUAUUUCAGGGAUACCUUGAGGAUUAUUAUCUUGCAUGCACAAUUCGUUUGACUUGUUUUCAUAAUAAACCACAAUUUCAAAUGUCUUUGUUACUCUGUCAAAUGUUUUUGGUGUAGCCACAGGUGUGGAGCUUCGUUGGGUGCCAGCUCUAUUAUUUGUUUAUUAUUUAGCUAAUAUCAAAUGCUGUAGAAUCA